UACGUAGGGCGCAAGCGUUGUCCGGAAUUAUUGGGCGUAAAGAGCUCGUAGGCGGUUUUGUCGCGUCUGCUGUGAAAACUGGAGGCUCAACCUCCAGCCUGCAGUGGGUACGGGCAAACUAGAGUGCGGUAGGGGGAGAUUGGAAUUCCUGGUGUAGCGGUGGAAUGCGCAGAUAUCAGGAGGGAACACCGAUGGCGAAAGGCAGAUCUCUGGGCCGUAACUGACGCUGAGGAGCGAAAAGCAUGGGGGAGCGAACAGG
rnacentral:rRNA from 1 species